AACGAACGCUGGCGGCAUGCCUAACACAUGCAAGUCGAACGGGUGGUAGCAAUACCACCAGUGGCAGACGGGUGCGUAACACGUGGGAACCUGCCCAGAGGUUCGGAAUAGCUGCGGGAAACUGCAGGUAAUACCGAAUGUUGCCUGAGGGCUAAAGGAGCAAUUCGCCUUUGGAGGGCCGCGUCGGAUUAGCUAGUUGGUGGGGUAACGGCGUCACCAAGGCGACGAUCCGUAGCUGGUCUGAGAGGAUGGCCAGCCACACUGGAACUGAGACACGGUCCAGACUCCUACGGGAGGCAGCAGU
rnacentral:rRNA from 1 species